AACGUAGGUUCCGAGCGUUAUCCGGAUUUACUGGGCGUAAAGCGCGUUCAGGCGGUUUGGCAAGUCGGGCAUGAAAUCUCUCGGCUCAACCGGGAGAGGUUGUCCGAUACUUCCAGACUUGAGGGCAGUAGAGGGUGGUGGAAUUCCGGGUGUAGUGGUGAAAUGCGUAGAUAUUCGGAAGAACACCAGUGGCGAAGGCGACUUACUGGACACAUAUUGACGCUGAGGUGCGAAAGCGUGGGGAGCAAACAGG
rnacentral:rRNA from 1 species